rnacentral:tRNA from 1 species
GGAUCUGUAGGCUAGUGGUAAACUGACUGGCUCCAGCCCAGUAUUCGGGGGUUCGAUUCCCUCCAGGUCCA